UAACGCGUGAGGAACCUGCCUUUCGGAGGGGGACAACAGUUGGAAACGACUGCUAAUACCGCAUGACACAUGACUGUGGCAUCGCAGACAUGUCAAAGAUUUUAUCGCCGAAAGAUGGCCUCGCGUCUGAUUAGCUAGUUGGUGAGGUAACGGCUCACCAAGGCGACGAUCAGUAGCCGGACUGAGAGGUUGGCCGGCCACAUUGGGACUGAGAUACGGCCCAGACUCCUACGGGAGGCAGCAG
rnacentral:rRNA from 1 species